GACGAACGCUGGCGGCGUGCUUAACACAUGCAAGUCGAACGGAAAGGCCCUGCUUUUGUGGGGUGCUCGAGUGGCGAACGGGUGAGUAACACGUGAGUAACCUGCCCUUGACUUUGGGAUAACUUCAGGAAACUGGGGCUAAUACCGGAUAGGAGCUCCUGCUGCAUGGUGGGGGUUGGAAAGUUUCGGCGGUUGGGGAUGGAUUCGCGGCUUAUCAGCUUGUUGGUGGGGUAGUGGCUUACCAAGGCUUUGACGGGUAGCCGGCCUGAGAGGGCGACCGGCCACAUUGGGACUGAGAUACGGCCCAGACUCCUACGGGAGGCAGCAGUGGGGAAUAUUGCACAAUGGGCGGAAGCCUGAUGCAGCAACGCCGCGUGCGGGAUGACGGCCUUCGGGUUGUAAACCGCUUUCGCCUGUGACGAAGCGUGAGUGACGGUAAUGGGUAAAGAAGCACCGGCUAACUACGUGCCAGCAGCCGCGGUGAUACGUAGGGUGCGAGCGUUGUCCGGAUUUAUUGGGCGUAAAGGGCUCGUAGGUGGUUGAUCGCGUCGGAAGUGUAAUCUUGGGGCUUAACCCUGAGCGUGCUUUCGAUACGGGUUGACUUGAGGAAGGUAGGGGAGAAUGGAAUUCCUGGUGGAGCGGUGGAAUGCGCAGAUAUCAGGAGGAACACCAGUGGCGAAGGCGGUUCUCUGGGCCUUUCCUGACGCUGAGGAGCGAAAGCGUGGGGAGCGAACAGGCUUAGAUACCCUGGUAGUCCACGCUGUAAACGGUGGGUACUAGGUGUGGGGUCCAUUCCACGGGUUCCGUGCCGUAGCUAACGCUUUAAGUACCCCGCCUGGGGAGUACGGCCGCAAGGCUAAAACUCAAAGGAAUUGACGGGGCCCCGCACAAGCGGCGGAGCAUGCGGAUUAAUUCGAUGCAACGCGUAGAACCUUACCUGGGUUUGACAUGGAUCGGGAGCGCUCAGAGAUGGGUGUGCCUCUUUUGGGGUCGGUUCACAGGUGGUGCAUGGCUGUCGUCAGCUCGUGUCGUGAGAUGUUGGGUUAAGUCCCGCAACGAGCGCAACCCUUGUUCACUGUUGCCAGCACGUUAUGGUGGGGACUCAGUGGAGACCGCCGGGGUCAACUCGGAGGAAGGUGGGGAUGACGUCAAGUCAUCAUGCCCCUUAUGUCCAGGGCUUCACGCAUGCUACAAUGGCUGGUACAGAGAGUGGCGAGCCUGUGAGGGUGAGCGAAUCUCGGAAAGCCGGUCUCAGUUCGGAUUGGGGUCUGCAACUCGACCUCAUGAAGUCGGAGUCGCUAGUAAUCGCAGAUCAGCAACGCUGCGGUGAAUACGUUCCCGGG
rnacentral:rRNA from 1 species